UACGGGGGGGGUAAGCGUUGUUCGGAAUUACUGGGCGUAAAGGGCUCGUAGGCGGCCAACUAAGUCAGACGUGAAAUCCCUCAGCUUAACUGGGGAACUGCGUCUGAUACUGGAUGGCUUGGAUCCGGAAGAGGGAUGCGGAAUUCCAGGUGUAGCGGUGAAAUGCGUAGAUAUCUGGAGGAACACCGGUGGCGAAGGCGGCAUCCUGGGCCGGUAUUGACGCUGAGGAGCGAAAGUGUGGGGAGCGAACAGG
rnacentral:rRNA from 1 species